GUUGAAAACUCAGGUGGUCAGAGAUGGACAUGCGUUGUAUUAGCUAGUUGGUGAGGUAACGGCUCACCAAGGCGACGAUACAUAGGGGGACUGAGAGGUCAACCCCCCACAUUGGUACUGAGACACGGACCAAACUCCUACGGAAGGCAGCAG
rnacentral:rRNA from 1 species